rnacentral:rRNA from 1 species
UAGGGAAUCUUCCGCAAUGGACGAAAGUCUGACGGAGCAACGCCGCGUGAGUGAAGAAGGAUUUCGGUUCGUAAAACUCUGUUGUUAGGGAAGAAAAAAUGUAUAGUAACUAUAUACAAAAGAGACGGUACCUAACCAGAAAGCCACGGCUAACUACGUGCCAGCAGCCGCGGUAAUACGUAGGUGGCAAGCGUUGUCCGGAAUUAUUGGGCGUAAAGCGCGCGCAGGUGGUUUAGAAAGUCUGAUGUGAAAGCCCACGGCUCAACCGUGGAGGGUCAUUGGAAACCAAUAAACUUGAGUGCAGGAGAGAAAAGUGGAAUUCCUAGUGUAGCGAUGAAAUGCGUAGAGAUUAGGAGGAACACCGGUGGCGAAAGCGGCUUUUUGGCCUGCAACUGACACUGAGGCGCGAAAGCGUGGGGAGCAAACAGG